rnacentral:rRNA from 1 species
UACGGAGGGGGCUAGCGUUGUUCGGAAUUAUUGGGCGUAAAGGGCUCGUAGGCGGUUUGUCGCGUCGGGGAGUGAAAACACACAGCUUAACUGUGUGCUUGCUUCCGAUACGGGCAGACUAGAGGUAUGCAGGGGAGAACGGAAUUCCUAGUGUAGAGGUGAAAUUCGUAGAUAUUAGGAAGAACACCAGUGGCGAAGGCGGCUCACUGGAUCGGUACUGACGCUGAGGUGCGAAAGCGUGGGGAGCAAACAGGG